rnacentral:piRNA from 1 species
UAGAGAGUGUCCCCGUAGAGCAAUGCUGUA